rnacentral:misc_RNA from 1 species
AAAUAAAUCCUACCCUUUGUGAAUUUUGUUUGUUUGAAUAAUUUUUUUUUUUAAAAAAUAUUAUUGGAGUCUUUCCCUUUAGGUUUGCUUUUGAGUUUGUAAAAGAAUUCGAAAACAUCUAAAGGGGAUGGUCAAUAAUUUUUUUGAAAAAAGACAUUUUUUAAAAUUAAACUUUUUGUAUUCAUUUGUCUAAAAAUUAUUUUUAUAAUAUAAAAACAACUUUUGACAAUGGAUCUCUUGGUUCUCGCAACGAUGAAGAACGCAGCAAAAUGCGAUAAGUAGUGUGAAUUGCAGAAUACGUGAAUCAUCGAAUCUUUGAACGCAUAUUGCACUUUUUUAGUUUACUAAAAAAGUAUGUCUGUUUGAGUAUCAGUAAAAUAUUCUCAUAAAAAUCAUUGUGUAUUUUUAUGGUUAUGAGUGUUUUACAACGAUACAAGUUGUUUCACUUUAAAUUUUUUUUUAAUAUUGAAAUUUUUCUAAUUUUAAUAAUUAAAAUUGGAUAAAAUUUUCCCGUCAAAAGGAAUAACCUAAACAAUUUUAAACGAUUAAUUUUAGCAAAAUUUUCGUAAAAAAGGAAAAUUUUUUAUUAAAAUAACUUGAUCUCAAAUCAGAUAAGAGUACCCGCUGAACUUAAGCAUAUCAAUAAGCGGAGGAAAAGAAACUAACAAGGAUUCCCUUAGUAACGGCGAGUGAAGCGGGAAGAGCUCAAAUUUGAAAUCUUCAAGGUUUUACCUUGACGAAUUGUAGUUUAAAGAAGUGUUUUUCUGCUGAAGUUUUGGUAAAAGUUCUUUGGAAUAGGACAUCAUAGAGGGUGAGAAUCCCGUAUUUGACCAUUAUUUUCAGCUUUGUGAUACACUUUCAAAGAGUCGGAUUGUUUGGGAAUGCAGUCCAAAAUGGGUGGUAAAUUUCAUCUAAGCUAAAUAUUGGCGAGAGACCGAUAGCGAACAAGUACCGUGAGGGAAAGAUGAAAAGAACUUUGAAAAGAGAGUAAAACAGUACGUGAAAUUGUCAAAAGGGAAGCGUUUGACACCAGUGUUGUUUUCUCGAAAAUCAAUUAAAAAUGGCUCGAUUUUGUAUUGCUGAGACCUUAAAAGCUCACUGUACAUUUUUCGUGUCUUUUUGAUGCACUUUUCGUUUAACAAGUCAACAUCAGUUUCUUUGUUGUAAAAGGGUCAUUGGAAGGUGGCUUUUCUUUUCGGAGAAAGUGUUUAUAGCCUUUGGCCUCUGCAAUCGGAGAGACUGAGGUCUGCAGCGUAGACUCUUCGGGGUUAGAUACAUUUGUGCUAAGUUAUAGCUUUUUAUAGACAACUUGUUGACUACAAUUAGUCUUGUAGCUUACUCGCUUAUGCUAUUUUACCUACGCUUAGGAUG